CUUUGGUUGAGUAAAAUACUAAGUAUCCAUAUGUGCAUAGUAUCAUUGAAGUUUGCAUUUGCUGAAAAUAUUCAGGAGAAGAAGAAGAAGUUCUAUUAUGGAUGAAGACUAGACAUUGCUGAAAAUGUUGAGGAUAUUCAGAUGGUGUUUAACAUACUUCUGAUCACUGAUGAGUGACUAUUUAUGAAUGUAUGCCUCAAUGCAAGUGAUAAGAGUCUGAGAUACAGAAAUCUGGGGAGGCAUGCUAUUGAUCAAAAUAUAAUAUACUACGCACCAUAAUUCAAAUCAAUGAUGAGAAACUGUUUAUGAAUGGAUGCCUCAAUGCAAGUGAUCUGAGUCUAAGAUACAGAAAUCUGGGGAGGCAUGCUAUUGAUCAAAAUAUAAUAUACUACGCACCAUAAUUCAAAUCAAUGAUGAGAGACUAUUUAUGAAUGGAUGCCUCAAUGCAAGUGAUCUGAGUCUAAGAUACAGAAAUCUGGG